GAUGAACGCUGGCGGCGUGCCUAAUACAUGCAAGUCGAGCGAACGGAUAAGGAGCUUGCUCCUUUGAAGUUAGCGGCGGACGGGUGAGUAACACGUGGGUAACCUACCUAUAAGACUGGAAUAACUUCGGGAAACCGGAGCUAAUGCCGGAUAACAUUUGGAACCGCAUGGUUCUAAAGUAAAAGAUGGUUUUGCUAUCACUUAUAGAUGGACCCGCGCCGUAUUAGCUAGUUGGUAAGGUAACGGCUUACCAAGGCAACGAUACGUAGCCGACCUGAGAGGGUGAUCGGCCACACUGGAACUGAGACACGGUCCAGACUCCUACGGGAGGCAGCAGUAGGGAAUCUUCCGCAAUGGACGAAAGUCUGACGGAGCAACGCCGCGUGAGUGAUGAAGGUUUUCGGAUCGUAAAACUCUGUUAUUAGGGAAGAACAAAUGUGUAAGUAACUGUGCACAUCUUGACGGUACCUAAUCAGAAAGCCACGGCUAACUACGUGCCAGCAGCCGCGGUAAUACGUAGGUGGCAAGCGUUAUCCGGAAUUAUUGGGCGUAAAGCGCGCGUAGGCGGUUUCUUAAGUCUGAUGUGAAAGCCCACGGCUCAACCGUGGAGGGUCAUUGGAAACUGGGAAACUUGAGUACAGAAGAGGAAAGUGGAAUUCCAUGUGUAGCGGUGAAAUGCGCAGAGAUAUGGAGGAACACCAGUGGCGAAGGCGACUUUCUGGUCUGUAACUGACGCUGAUGUGCGAAAGCGUGGGGAUCAAACAGG
rnacentral:rRNA from 1 species